rnacentral:rRNA from 1 species
ACGAACGCUGGCGGCAUGCCUAACACAUGCAAGUCGAACGAUCCCUUCGGGGAUAGUGGCGCACGGGUGCGUAACGCGUAGGAACCUGCCCUUAGGUUCGGAAUAACUCAGAGAAAUUUGAGCUAAUACCGGAUAAUGUCUUCGGACCAAAGAUUUAUCGCCUUUGGAUGGGCCCGCGUUGGAUUAGCUAGUUGGUGGGGUAAAGGCCUACCAAGGCGACGAUCCAUAGCUGGUCUGAGAGGAUGAUCAGCCACACUGGGACUGAGACACGGCCCAGACUCCUACGGGAGGCAGCAGUGGGGAAUAUUGGACAAUGGGCGAAAGCCUGAUCCAGCAAUGCCGCGUGAGUGAUGAAGGCCUUAGGGUUGUAAAGCUCUUUUACCCGGGAUGAUAAUGACAGUACCGGGAGAAUAAGCCCCGGCUAACUCCGUG